rnacentral:lncRNA from 1 species
GGGUUUUUUUUUAUCUUUCAGCUCGGUGAUGCUUUUAAGACGUUUUAUAUUUUUUCCAACACGUAUAGCUGUUUUCUCCUGAUGAGUUGGUUCAACUAAACCAGCUCCACCUAAACUACCUUAAUCAUUUUAAAUUCAUGGUCAUUACCUUCAAGGGGGCAUAAGGGCUGCCUGGUAAUACUGCUCCACUUCUCUGAUCCAUUCUCCCACCCGUCUGGAAGACUCUCACAUCUUUCUUUUUUCCUACUUUCUUCAGAUCUCUUUUCCCAUUACACCUUGUGAGGGAGACCCUGGUGUGAAACCCUCACCACAUUGACAAGCAGUGAUGUGCCCUGGGGAGACUUCUGUCUGAACAGCUUAGGUCUCGUGGAGGGCAGUGGCCUAAUAAUGUCACAAUUGAGGAUGUCAUGGGGGUGACUGUGGAAUCUGUCCUGACGAUCAGGGCCUCACUGACACCUGGAUGACCUUGAGCAGGAACGUGCUGAUGCAAGCAGAGGUGUGAAAACGUGCUUGGGUGUUUCCACUUCUGCUGUCUUGGACCCCACUUCUGCCAUGAGAACAUGCACAGCUUGCAUGCUGGAGGGAUGUGGAAGAUGCACAGAGAAGAGCUGAGUGAUCUCGGUGGAGGCCAUCCUAGACCAGCCAGCCCCCAGCGAGCUUGUCAGGGGCAGCAGAUGGCUGAGCGAGCCCAGCUGAGGCUCGCCAAGUCCAGCCCAGAUCAGCGGAACCAUCCAAGCAGCCUGUGGACUGGUGAGGAAUAAUAUAUGAAUUGCAGCUGUUUUAAGCCAUGAAGGAUUAGUUUGUUAUGCUGCAAUUGUGGAUUGAUAGAUGAUGUAAGCAGAAAACAAUCUUUGCCACCUGCUCUGUGGAUUAUUUCUGGCUCCUGGAUAAAAAUCCCAAGUUUGGGGGAGGGCUAGAGUGAGUUCUUGUUCGUGUCCAUGUUCACGUUAAUGUUCACCACCAGUUACUUUCAAGUGUAAGAACCAUCUCUGUUAAGUAAUUAGGAUGCCCAGUCCGGUGUAACAAUCAAAACGUCAAAACUUUAUCAAAGAUAGAAGGUUCUCCCCUCUGCUGGCUGAGAAUGGUGGUGGGGAGGAGGAUGCGGUUGGAGUCUCUGUCUCCUUGCCCAGCCUCAUCAGGCAGUUGGAGCCAAGCAGGAGGGACAAACAAAGACGCCUGUGGCAGGUGCAGUUCCCUUCCUACACUAGUGCUCAGUGGCCCCGGUGGCUUUUCAAACCCGGCUCGCCUCCUCUGGCCUCCUUCCGUGUGCUUCUUAGCCCUCUUCCACCAGAACCUCCAACACAAUCCCCAUAAUGUGUGUGAUGCCUUCUAUUCUUUAAAAUGCACUUCAUACAUGACAUAUGCAGAAAAGCAAUCAAAUCAUGUUGUAAACUUUGUGACACAUUUUCACAAGGUGAACACACUGUAUGGCCACCCCCAGACCAAGAACCCUGAACACCACGAGGGUCCCAGAAGCCCCUUCCUCUCCUCUCUGUUACACCCACCCUCAUCCCCUGUCCUAACUUCUAACCUACAGAUAAACAAUUGAAUCGUUUUCUUUGACCAACCUGGUUGGCCUUUGCCAGGACAGAAUGCCCUCUGCCAGCUCUCAAAGAAUCAGCUUACCCCAAAAUAUGCAAACAAAAUGUCACUGUUCCCAGACUGAGAAAUCUUGUUGCUGUCUUUGUUCCUUGACUCAGGCCCCCAUCUGUCCACUUACAUGUGAGCCAACAAAUCAUUCGCAAAGUCACCUAACCGUGAGCAAAGGAACAUCUCUGAAUUAUUCUUUGACAAAUAGCUACUCCCAGACAGCUUACAAAAUGAAACAGCAUACUAAAUGUAGAGGUACAGGGCUCUAAAAUAGGACUACUUUUUUAACCAGAAAAAUGAAUAAUUCUUAAUGAAUCUCGUGACACACAGUUCUUAUGUUUCUUUAAAAUUUCCAAGCAUUUAGGAAAAUUUAAUUCAUUUCUUAUGUAAUAGGAGCUCAAUAAAGUAUUCUCUAACAUUUCUACUUAGACCAGAAAUCAUGCUAAGCAUGAAUUGUUAAAUUCCUUUUAAAUAUUAUAACCAGUUACAUAAAAAUGAAUCUGGUUUAACAAUGAUCUAUUCUUAGUUUCAAUAUUUUUUUAG